rnacentral:rRNA from 1 species
UACGAAGGGGGCUAGCGUUGUUCGGAAUUACUGGGCGUAAAGCGCGCGUAGGCGGUUUUGUAAGUCAGGGGUGAAAUCCCGGGGCUCAACCUCGGAACUGCCUUUGAUACUGCAAAUCUCGAGUCCGAUAGAGGUGGGUGGAAUUCCUAGUGUAGAGGUGAAAUUCGUAGAUAUUAGGAAGAACACCGGUGGCGAAGGCGGCCCACUGGAUCGGUACUGACGCUGAGGUGCGAAAGCGUGGGGAGCAAACAGG